rnacentral:rRNA from 1 species
UGCAAGUCGAGCGGACAGAUGGGAGCUUGCUCCCUGAUGUUAGCGGCGGACGGGUGAGUAACACGUGGGUAACCUGCCUGUAAGACUGGGAUAACUCCGGGAAACCGGGGCUAAUACCGGAUGCUUGUUUGAACCGCAUGGUUCAAACAUAAAAGGUGGCUUCGGCUACCACUUACAGAUGGACCCGCGGCGCAUUAGCUAGUUGGUGAGGUAACGGCUCACCAAGGCAACGAUGCGUAGCCGACCUGAGAGGGUGAUCGGCCACACUGGGACUGAGACACGGCCCAGACUCCUACGGGAGGCAGCAGUAGGGAAUCUUCCGCAAUGGACGAAAGUCUGACGGAGCAACGCCGCGUGAGUGAUGAAGGUUUUCGGAUCGUAAAGCUCUGUUGUUAGGGAAGAACAAGUACCGUUCGAAUAGGGCGGUACCUUGACGGUACCUAACCAGAAAGCCACGGCUAACUACGUGCCAGCAGCCGCGGUAAUACGUAGGUGGCAAGCGUUGUCCGGAAUUAUUGGGCGUAAAGGGCUCGCAGGCGGUUUCUUAAGUCUGAUGUGAAAGCCCCCGGCUCAACCGGGGAGGGUCAUUGGAAACUGGGGAACUUGAGUGCAGAAAAAGAGAGUGGAAUUCCACGUGUAGCGGUGAAAUGCGUAGAGAUGUGG